CCAAGUCACCCUCGUCUUCAAUCUCCAGGAAACGAAACGCAUGCACGCUGCAACUCUUUCAGUUUCUAUGCUUUUACAUCUCCACUUAAUUUCCAGAGAUUUAAGCCACCAUUUAACGAGCGGUUUGUUCCUACUUAAGCCCCACUCAGUCCUCUCCAUUUCCCCUCUCCUUCCUCGCCAAAUGGUGCCCCAAGGCUGCUCGAUUUUGUCGCCGAACUCUGAAGUUCCGCCGCCGUCCGUCGAAGAUUCCGGCGAGCAUAGCAAUGACAUCGACGAAUUCCGAGUUCGCCGUUGCUUGGAACUUCUCCGGCAGCGCCUCCACGCCCCUCCAGAACAGGACCUAUCAAGCCACCAUCAACCUCGUGUUCCCUCGACGGGACGCACACCAUCGACCACGUCCGAGUUCCCCAUUAUCGUUACGUUUCUUGCUGCUGCUGAAUCCCCGCAUACUGAGAGGAGACAGGAGCUACCUUACCAAAGCCCUCCCGAAGAUAGCCGGAGCAUUGCCUGCGUCUAGGGCCGUGCCACCAUGGCCGUCCUCCUCAUGACAUUAGAGUCGCUGCAGCGUCGGUAACGACAUAAAUUCGUCCAUCCCGUGCUAUUCCAUCUCUAGUGUAAUAUGCCAUGUUUAGAUCAUUUGCCUAGCUGAUAGCAGCCUAUCAUUGGUUUCCACGUGUAUCUCUGUUGUUCUUUUUCCACACACUGGCUGGAAUCAUCCGAUUGAUCCGAUUCAUCUGGCAUGUGCUAGCUCAUCUCA